rnacentral:rRNA from 1 species
ACAACAGUUGGAAACGACUGCUAAUACCGCAUAAGCCCACGGCUCGGCAUCGAGCAGAGGGAAAAGGAGCAAUCCGCUUUGAGAUGGCCUCGCGUCCGAUUAGCUAGUUGGUGAGGUAAUGGCCCACCAAGGCGACGAUCGGUAGCCGGACUGAGAGGUUGAACGGCCACAUUGGGACUGAGACACGGCCCAGACUCCUACGGGAGGCAGCAGUGGGGAAUAUUGCACAAUGGGGGAAACCCUGAUGCAGCGACGCCGCGUGGAGGAAGAAGGUCUUCGGAUUGUAAACUCCUGUUGUUGGGGAAGAUAAUGACGGUACCCAACAAGGAAGUGACGGCUAACCACGUGCCAGCAGCCGCGGUAAAACGUAGGUCACAAGCGUUGUCCGGAAUUACUGGGUGUAAAGGGAGCGCAGGCGGGAAGACAAGUUGGAAGUGAAAUCUAUGGGCUCAACCCAUAAACUGCUUUCAAAACUGUUUUUCUUGAGUAGUGCAGAGGUAGGCGGAAUUCCCGGUGUAGCGGUGGAAUGCGUAGAUAUCGGGAGGAACACCAGUGGCGAAGGCGGCCUACUGGGCACCAACUGACGCUGAGGCUCGAAAGUGUGGGUAGCAAACAGGAUUAGAUACCCUGGUAGUCCACACCGUAAAC